UGGGGAAUUUUGGACAAUGGGGGAAACCCUGAUCCAGCCAUCCCGCGUGUGCGAUGAAGGCCUUCGGGUUGUAAAGCACUUUUGGCAGGAAAGAAACGUCGCGGGUUAAUACCCCGCGAAACUGACGGUACCUGCAGAAUAAGCACCGGCUAACUACGUGCCAGCAGCCGCGGUAAUACGUAGGGUGCAAGCGUUAAUCGGAAUUACUGGGCGUAAAGCGUGCGCAGGCGGUUCGGAAAGAAAGAUGUGAAAUCCCAGAGCUUAACUUUGGAACUGCAUUUUUUAACUACCGGGCUAGAGUGUGUCAGAGGGAGGUGGAAUUCCGCGUGUAGCAGUGAAAUGCGUAGAUAUGCGGAGGAACACCGAUGGCGAAGGCAGCCUCCUGGGAUAACACUGACGCUCAUGCACGAAAGCGUGGGGAGCAAACAGGAUUAGAUACCCUGGUAGUCCACGCCCUAAACGAUGUCAACUAGCUGUUGGGGCCUUCGGGCCUUGGUAGCGCAGCUAACGCGUGAAGUUGACCGCCUGGGGAGUACGGUCGCAAGAUUAAACUC
rnacentral:rRNA from 1 species